rnacentral:lncRNA from 1 species
GACUGGCUGAGGGGCAAGGUGGAAGUCAAUCAAGAGACUAUCCAGCGGCUCCUUGAGGAGAAUGACCAACUGAUCCGCUGUAUCGUGGAGUAUCAGAACAAGGGCGGAGCGAACGAGUGCGUCCAGUGCCAGCUUGUGUUACACAGAAAUCUCAUUUAUUUGGCUACCAUCGCAGAUGCCAGCCCAACCAGUACUUCAAAAGCAAUGGAAUAA